UAUGAUUUUUUUUUUCUCACACAGGUUAAACAACUGAUGCUUUACAGUAUACUGUGUUGCUAAGCUAUGAUAUUCAGAAAGUUAGGUAUCUUAAUUGCAUUUUCCAAUUGCAAUAUUUUACUGGUGACAGGCUUAUCAAGGUGUAGCCCAUCAUAAGCUAAAAAGAAUCUGCAUGUCCUCACAAUGACCGAAUCCCAGCUUUGCAUCACAGAACAACAUGGGAACUUCAAACUUUGCAACUAAAUUAAAGUUGCAGUGCACAACUAGCACUCUCUGAACCUGGCUGAGAAAAGUAAAAAUCCUCUCUGGAAGAAGGUAACUUUAAUUUAUGCCUCAAAUUGUUUCUACAAAUAAGUUUCCAAAUACACAAGAAGUAAAAGUACAUUGCAGUAAAGAAACCAUAAGCAAGAGUCCAUCAAAAAGACCAGAAAAUGAAACCCUGAGGGACCCUGGUAUUAUAAUUAUCAGACACAGAAUAUGAAACAAAAGUGUUUGGUGUAUUCAAGGAGCAAAAGGAAGGGCAUAAAGUUUUAAGGAACAGAAGCUAUAACCUGCAAUAAGACAAAAAAUGGAAUUCUAGAACUAAAAAUGACAAAAAUAAAAAUUAAAAACUAAGUGGACAGGUUUAGAAGCAAAUUAAACACAGCUGAAGAGAAAAAAAAUAGGUGAGAAGAAUUUAGUCAGAAAGAAGCAUAAAGCCACAAAAGAUGGAAAAAUGUAGAAAGAAAGUAAGAGACCUAGGAUAUGUGAACAGAUUUAAUAUAUUUUUAACUGGAAGAGAGAAGCUAGAAACUUGGCAGGGGCAACUUAGAGAUAAUGAUUCAAAGUAACCCAGAACUGAUGAAAGACAUCAAUUCACUCUAAGAAGUUGAACAUCUCAAGUAGGAUUUUGAAAAGAAAAAGAAAAAAGAAACCCAAAUUCACAUAGUGAAUUGUGGAAAAAUAAAGCUGAAAAGCAACCAGAAAAAAGAGAGACAGAUUUUCUUUGGAGGAACAACAGCUAGACUAACAGCUGACUUCUCAAUAAGAACCAUGGAAGUUGGAAGCUAGCAAAAUAACUUCAGUGUACUGAAAAGGAAAUGUAGUCACAUGUGGCAUAGCAACACUUCCGUCAGCAAGGGACUGUGUAUUUGAUACUGCCCCAUAAGAUUAUAUUGCCUGGUGAUGUCACAGCCAUCUAAGUUUGAUGACAUUAGAAGUACUUCUCUACCUGCCUGAUGACACUUGAAUCUCUCAGCACAUGCAUGGGAGAAGGAGGAAGGAACAAAGAGGCCACCUGCUGCUCUUUUCUUAAUGCCACCAAGGAAACACUCUAUCCUAACAGGGAAAUGAAGGAAACUUGCCCUUGAGAGCAGAAGCUGGCCUGGAGGUGACAUGGGUUGCCAGGCUCUGGAGGAAGCGGGUCCCAAGAAACUGAAUCCUGACAUCAAACACGGGAGAGAGCUUGGAAGCAGAUCUUCCCCAGGCAAGCCUUCAGAGGAGCUUGGAAUCAAAAUGGGAAGACCAGACGUGCCCAUAAGAAGAACAAAGCAGUGGAUGAAGGGAAAAAAACAGACCAAGAAGCCUAGUGAUGAGCUAAAUGUUGAUCUAGACUGGCUCAGGGUUCCCAACUGGUAUGGAGAAGCCACGUGCAAGUAUCAGAUCCAUUCCAUGUUGUGGAGAGUUUCAACAGGGCUUGGUGACCAAAGAGUUCUCAAGGAACUUUAAUGGGUGCUUCUGAAUUAUGAUUGGUGAUAGAAACUGCCUAUAAUCUUAAAUUUGAAAUAACUUGGAUGCACGUUAGCAUACUUAUGGUAUAAAUAAUAAUAAUGGCAAUAAACAUUUA